AUAGAUUGUGUAUUUGACUACUUCAAAGGACCGUCAAUGAUUGACGCUGUCGGCAAGUCGGUCUUCGGUUACUUCACACGAACAAUACUUUCAUGGACAAUGUAUCAAAAAUUUAAAUUUCCUAACAAAUGAUUUUGAUUUUUAAAUUUCGUAUCUCAAAAGACUGACUCGAAGGCAGUGCCAUCUCUGAUGUUUGCGGUAGUGACGAAAGCAAUUUCCACAAUCUAUUUCAAAUUUUAUUUUCUGAUUGAA